AGGACAGUCCCUUUCUCAUAGUGUCUUGUGUUCCAAGUCCAAAUGCAGAUGAGUCCGAGACAAAAAUGUGAUGACAGGUUGACGGAAGAAGUGGGGCGUUAUCCCCAGAUCUAUGUUCCAAGUUCUGCCAGGAGCAUGGUUCAAAGGACAUCUUUUAUGUCACUCUUGUAUCUACACACAAGUUCUGGGAUGGAGUGAGGCGAUCUCCACCUGCUCUGUUUGGCCUCAGGAAACGUAAAAGAGUGAGUAAAUUCCUUUUUUUUAAACGGAGAAACAGAAGCUCCACUCCACGCCUCAGGCUGAUGAAAGAGCUCUUCUGACCAGUAGAUGAGAAAUUCUGAAUUGAAUCUUAAUUUUAUGCCUCUAAUUCUCAAACUCCACUAUUUCCUUUAGAGGCUUGGUGUGUUGACUAUAUAAAAGCAGAAUGGCAUCAGCCAUUUUAGCAGCAUGUUUCGAACUCGUUUCAGCUAAUUUUCUAAUGCCAGUAGUGCGUCUGUUGUCUUUGUACUAAUGUUUGUAGUCUUAUCGUACUUCAAUGUCUUAAACCUUACCUGACAAAAUCAGGAUUAGAGAGCAAAUCUAAUCUAUUUGUCCUGACUCCCAAAGUCACCACCUACUUUACUACCUCAAAAUCCUUCCCAAACACUUCUUAAAAAAGGUUUCAUAUGGCCAAGUAUUUAUCAAUCGUAAAUCAGUAACUCUCUUGACUAUUACCAUCAGCAACACACAAAGAAAAAACCUUCAGCCUCCUCUCAGAUAAGUACAACAAACUCCAGGUUUUCAUAGCACCCAUGGUUCAGUUUAGUUGUUUUCACUGACACUUGCUAACAGCAAUGGCUGCCGUCAGAGCUCAACUAAAUUUUUUUAAAUUAAAAUUUACUUGACACUUUUUGUUUACUUCUUGACAUUUUCCAUAUUGAGAUCGAGUCACUUUAGAUCGAGCAUAAUGGAAGCUAGAGUUUGUUGUGACCAGAGGUCGUGGCCGUGCCGCACUAGUUACUGACGCUAGACUAGACAUGGGCGGGUGAGGCUUCAUGAAACAGUGUUCUCAUUUUCUCAGCUCAGGAGGAGGAGCUCUUGGUUUAAUAGUGAUGCAAGGUUUAAUUGUAAUGGUUGUUUUAAGGCAAAGCUUUUAGACCAGACGGUGCCAUCUAGAGGAAACUGAGGACAGUGUUUCAUGAAGCCUCACCAGCACAUCACUACUUUAAAUUGUCCGCAAACCAUUCUGUUGUUCUUGGGGAGUUGCUGCCAUCGACUCAAGCACCCACUGGCCCACACUGUGAAGCUACAAACACAAGACAAAAAAAAAGCAAUAGCAUUGGUUCAUUUUAUUUAACUCACAUAACCAAACAUCGGAUGCAUUGCGAAUCUUGCCUCCCGUAUUUUACGCAUCCACUUGACCAGGAAGAGUUUGAGUCUACUCAACAAGCAUAAUGCUGCUUUCUACAUGUUUAUUUAAUAAUUAUAUUAACUUCCUGCCAUGAUGUAUUUCCCCAGGAAAGUUACAGUAAAACCACCAUCCUGAGCAAAGAAGGAAAACUGCCAGUCCAAUAGCGUUACUCAACCCCUGCACCUCGGCACCAAGCUCUCACGCGCCCCAUGUAGGACUCAAGAGUGGAAAAAAUGACACAAAUAUAACACAAAUAUUGAUAUAAAAGAAUCGAGAGCCACACUAACACAUGGUAAAACUGCCAUUUGUAGAGGUGAAAAAAUAAAACUAUCAAAAGUUACAGUAUCAAGUUGUCAGGUUUGUUCGCGUCAUCCUGUUGUGUGGGCUUCAAACUUGAGGACUUUGUCGAGACUGGAUUGUACUGGAAUGUAACGGAUUUAACAAAAGGAUGAAAGGUUUUUUUUCCACACAGUAAUGCACUUUGAGACACGUACCACACAUGCUGCCUAAUACACUGGACACAGACGUCACUGGGAUGAACAUCAGAAUAGAUAUAGAGUUUUUCCAUUUUGUUGCAGCAGUCUCGCUACAGAUGCCAUAGAGGAGGAGGUGUGUACAUCUCAACUAAACAGUGGACAGAAAGCAUAUUUAUGAUGGGUAACAAUGGUUAUUGUUUGACACAGGAAUUAUAAAAACCCCAGCUCAAGUCGCUUUGCGAGGAGGUGCUCAUACAGGUAACACACACACACCAUGAUGCAUCUGGACACACGCUGUACUUUACACAAAGUGAGUCGAGUGUAAACGUGCAUGUUUGUGCACACACCACCACACAUACAACCGAGACUGGUGAGAGGUAAAAAAAAAAGUAUGUGUUAGCAGAAGAUUGUGUCUUCUCUGUCGUCUAUUCCGCCUGCUGCUCCAGCUGCUGCUCGUCCUGGUCGUUGGAGUCAGGAGCGUCCGUCUUCCACAGCUGGUGACAAAGGACAGAGCCGUCAGUGGAAGGCUGAAUACAGCAGAGAGACUGCAGCAGAAGCCGCACACAGCCCGUCACACGUCUUAACCAGUUUCCCCACAAGAUGGCAGACUCCAAAGACAAUAGCCUUUGUAAGAGUGUGGCACUGAAGCAUUUUUUUUGGAAAAUGGAAAACUGGAAUGGAUAAGUGAAACGCUGACCACACCCGUGCAACAAGAGAGGUAAAGAUGGCGGAGGUGAGGACAGAUGCUAAAGUAUUGAGUGAAGACAGAUACUGUCAGUAGUAUGAGAGCAUUUCCGCCUGGAUGUGAAGACAAACACGGUGUCUGUGUGUGGUGCAACAAAGGCUGCCUCAAUAUCAUAACAGCACGUCUUCGAUGCUGCAGCGGCUCCCUUGACCAGAAACAAGCAAACCAGACACGGAUGGUGUGGACACACUUCCCUUACGCCACCAUCACGUGGCCCUGAGCAAGCAGUUGAGCUGAGCAUUCUAAAUAUGAUCAGAGACACGGUUGUCAAAAGGACUUGUCAGCUUGAAGGUAAAUAAUUAUUUGCUUCUAUUUGUGUUGCAAAAGAAAACUCGGUGAAAUCUCAUGUUUUUUGUUGUGUAUUCAGAAUUGCUCGAACGGAAACACUUAUCUGAUUAAUGGUUAAACAAUACAGUAGAGUACUCGAUUGACUUGCAACAGAAAGUCCAAACAGCGCAGAAAUAUCACUGAUUUUUCUUUUCCACUUGAAAUCGACGUGGUCCCAGGCAGCAGUUGUUGUACGUCAGUUAUCAAUUAUACAUGUUCGCUUGAACACAAGGACUUUGCUGUUCAAAACUACUAAUGACUGCUACCACUAAAAAUAAUGAUAAUGUUUACUGGAAGUCCAGAGUUGCAUAAUGGGGACUCCAUCUGCCAGCACUCUGGUAAAUGAAGUCAUUUUUAUGUGCAUUUCCCAUGUUUUUUGUCUUCAUUGUUAUUUACUUUGCCCAUUUCUCUACCUGUAUGAGAUCUACUUGUGAGAAUCGACAUAAUCCUUUUCAAACCUCACCACUUAAAUUAUCUGUUGGGAAUUCUUGUUGGUUUGUGUUAAUAUCGCAAUAAAAAAUAAAGCAAUGUCUUGCAAUGCUUUUCUCAAAAUCCUGCAGCCCGACUCGUAACUGUAACCGUCCCAACACUGCACAAGGAAAACAGGCUCCUUCUAUAGAUGAAAAACAUUUUCAUUGUUAUACAUUCCGUAACCAAUCAAGUCACGCAUUUGUUUGAAUGUUGAUAAUUCGUAUUAUUGUGCCUCAUUUGUCUCAAGUGGAGUUUCUGAAGGUUCUCCAGGUGAAACACAUAGAGGAAACACUCACGGUCAGAUUGUCGCGGAGCAACUGCAGAAUCAAGGUGCUGUCUUUGUAGGACUCGGAAGUUUCCAUAUUGUCCAAGUCACUAAUGGCAUCGUCGAAGGCCUGUUGGAGUUCCAGAGGAGAUUUAAUAUCAUAGUGGGCAGACAAAUAUGAAACAGACUGUGUUCAGUUGUGGCUUCAAGGCCCUCACCUCCUUUGCGAGACAGCAGGCUUCCUUGGGAUCGUUGGCAAUCUCGUAGUGGAAGACGGAGAAGUUGAGAGCGAGGCCCAGGCGGAUAGGAUGAGUAGGCUUCAUUUCAGACUUGCUGAUAUUCAAUGCUUCGUUGUAGGCCUCCUUUGACUUGGUAAUAAUAUCUAGACAGAGAAACGAUGAACAAUGUAAAUGCAUGGAAAAGCAUCAGGCCAAACGCACGAAAUGAGCGAAAUGACCAAUAGCACGUUUCAAUACUGCGAUGUCAAUGCUGUGUGUGAGAAUUAAUUUCGCAUACAUUUUUUUCCCUUUAAUUUACCUUCAUCUGCAUCAUCUUUUUGGCUUGGUGGAGUUACCAUCCAUAUCUUUAUCUCAGCUUGUCACAACAGUAUCCAUUCUCAUGACAUUUUGCGGCUCAUUUUUUUUGUCCUGAAUUUAGUUUUAAGUCAACUAUUUAACAAUGAGGCAAACCGUGGCGCCUUACAAGUGUAAAUAAAGUGAACCAUCUUUGGCGUCACAGUUCAGACAAAGAACACUGCAUCAUUCUGCUGUGAAUGUGUAUGGUCUCAGAAAAGAGCAUCAGUUUUGGAAGUUGCUCUUUUGACAAAGGUGUUGCUCCCGACUGUCUGAAUGAAUGAAUGAGGUGAACACGCAGAUAUGACGAGAAAAAAAAAGUUCAGUCUGAGUGAGAGCCGGACUCCUUAGGACUCGAGGCAAGGAACGUUAAAAUGUCGAUGUUAUUUGGAGGAACAACAGGAUCUCAUAUGUCCAUCUUAUCCAUCAGUUAAGUGAAAGAGCAUGAAUCAGAUGAUCAACUCACCAUUCCUGUUGCAUCCAGAGGAGACUUCGGCUUGAUAGCGAUAGUAGUCUCCCUUCAUCUUCAGGUAAAAGACUUGGCACUCCGGGGGCUUGUCACCAGGAAUCAAAUCAUCAACCAGCAGAUUCUAAAAAGUCAAAAGGGUGGAAUAUCAGGCAACACGAUCGAUGCCUAGACAAAAUGCGUGUAUCUCCCGUCGCCCUUGGCUUCCAACAGUUGUAACAGACAAAUGUAUCACUAUGUACUAAAUAAUCCCUGAAACAUUUUUUUUCACAGCACAAAGACGUUCAUACUAAUUAAAGUUACAUUGUUCAUUGAGUGUAUUUUUUUUCUCUUUUCUUUCACAUGACUAACAGAUUGUUGUUUUUAAAAUGGCUUUACAAAAGGGGCUGUUCUAUGCAGUCGGGAGACACAAUGGUUCGUUGUUGCAAGGCUCCUGAAGUCGUAUUUCUGAGAGCAUUAGCAAGUAAAAGCCAUGACCU